rnacentral:tRNA from 1 species
UAUGAUGUGGCUCAGUGGUAGAGCGCUCAUCUAGCAAGUGCAAGACCCUGGGUUCGAUUCUCAGCACCAUAU